UCUUUUAGGGUUAGACAUAUUGUUUGUAUCUCAAUUUCCUGUCUGAUGAAUUUACAGUUUACAACAUGUACUGCUCUAGUUAUGGUUUCUUUCUAAUUUGCCAGGUUACACGUAGUGUUGAAACGGGCAAUGGACAGUUGAGCCCACAGGAAAGGAAGACUAUCGAUGCCAUUGUGAAGGCUAGUGAGUACCCUUGAUCGAUUGUGCUUGUUGGGGUUGGUGAUGGACCUUGGGACAUGAUGAAGAAAUUUGACGACAACAUACCUUCUCGUGCAUUUGAUAUUUUCAGUUUGUAAAUUUCACAGAGAUCAUGUCAAGACCUAUACUCGGCAGCAAAAAAGAGGCAGAAUUUGCUCUUUCAGCACUGAUGGAGAUUCCAGCACAGUUUAAAGCAGCAACGAACCUCCAGCUUCUUGGGUAUUUUACUUAUCUAGUCAAAACCACACUCAUUUCUGGAAAUUCAGAUCCCUUGUCUUUUCUUUUCAUUUUGGCAGCAAACGAAGAGGAUUUUCGCGUCAACCAGUGUUACCUCCUCCUGUGAGUGAUCGGCCGCAAUACUCUGGAUGCUCUGCAGUCAAACAGACCCAAUCUACCAGCUAUGAAUCAGCAUGUAAACCUGCAUCAUCGGCUCAACACGACUUUGAUAUAGAUGAUCAACAUGGACGUGUGAUGUGUCGGUGUCUUUGAGUUUGAAACAAUGAAGACCAGCAUUCCAAUCGUAUGUUCCACACUUUUAUCCCAUGCUGAACUCCUGUUCUUGCAGACUUGUCCAAUCUGCUGGAGUCAAGCAAAGGACCUUGCUUUUGGGUGUGGGCAUCAGACAUGAAGGUAUGUCCCCUGUGCCAAAGGGAGAUCUCCACAAGAAUUAAGCUCUACUGAAGCCCUUAAGAAGCUCAUAUACAAUCACCAUCUCAAGGAAACCUUUGACAUUAUUAAACAGGAGGUUUUGUAAGCAAGCAAUAUAAAUACA